UCCUGAAGGAACGUUGAAGACGACGACGUUGAUAGGCCGGGUGUGUAAGCGCAGCGAUGCGUUGAGCUAACCGGUACUAAUGAACCGUGAGGCUUAACCUUACAACGCCGAAGGUGUUU
rnacentral:rRNA from 3 species